UGAUCUCUCUGGCCUGAUGCACUGUCCCAAGUGGCCAAGGAAAAGUUGGGUUUCUCUGAAUGUGUAGUGACACUUCCUACAAAGAAACCUUGAAGGUGGCCAGGAUCAUCUCAGCAGACUGAAAACUGAUUGAAGCCUCAGAGGAGAACUAAGUAUCAGCCAAAAAUUACUUGAAAAUGAGCCUGCGUUUUGCUCAAAUAAGUUAAUGAACCUUUGUGAAUUUUCAAGACUGGGCUGAAUUUCAAGAUUGGAACAAAGCUUAAAGCCAGGUGAGUUUUAUUGUAAAUAUUUCCCGCAUGGAUCCAGCAACAAUCUGAUCCUGUUUAACUAGUUUAACUAAAUGCUUGUGUAACAUCAAGGCCUGGAUGACAGACUCUUUUAUUUGGAAAAAAGA
rnacentral:lncRNA from 1 species